GUGCUCACUUCAGCAGCACAUAUACUAGAAUUGGAACAAUAUAGAGAUCAGAAUGGCCCCUGCACAAGGUUGACAAAUUUGUGAAGCAUUCCAUAUUUUU
rfam:Canis lupus familiaris chromosome 1, whole genome shotgun sequence.